GCCGCGGUAGCCUAGCCUGGUAGGGCGCCGGCCUGCUAAGCCGGUGGGCGCUGCCCACAGGGGUUCAAAUCCCCUCCGCGGCGCCA
rnacentral:tRNA from 11 species